rnacentral:rRNA from 1 species
AUGGCGGCGCACGUGCUGGUGUUCCCGUGCCCGGCGCAGGGCCACAUCAACUGCAUGCUCCACUUCGCCGCGGGGCUCCUCGACGCCGGCCUCCACGUCACCUUCCUUCACACCGACCACAACUGGCGGAGGCUAGGCCUUGCCGCCGUCAAGGCGGAGGCUGAUUCGCCGCGGCUCCGGUUCCUGUCCGUCACCGACGGCCUCCCGGACGAUAAUCCCCGCACGGCGGGUGACCUCGUCGCGCUCGUGGAGUCCAUGAUGACGACGACGAGGGUCGCGUACCGUGCUCUGCUCACGUCCCUGCGCGCGGGCGCGCCCCGCGACGAUGGCUUCCCUCCCGUGACCUGCGUCGUCGCUGACGGGAUGCUCCCGUUCGCGAUCGACGUCGCUGAGGAGCUCGGCGUCCCGGCGCUCGCCUUCCGAACGGCCAGCGCGUGCAGCUUCCUCGCUUACCUCUCCGUGCCCAAGCUCGUGGAGCUCGGCGAGGUUCCUGUCCCGGCAGGCGCCGACCUCGACGCGCCCGUCCGUGGCGUUCCGGGAAUGGAGGGCUUCCUGCGGCGGCGCGAUCUUCCAAGUUUUUGCCGCGGGCACGACGAGUCCGGCGACCUCCACCCCAUGCUUCGGAUAAUCGCCGAAUUCAGCGCACACAGCUGCAACGCGCGGGCGCUCAUACUCAACACGACCGCGUCUCUGGAGCGGUCAGCGCUCGCGCACAUCGCGCCGCACAUGCGCGACGUCUUCGCCAUUGGCCCUCUCCACGCCAUGUUCCAGGAGCCGGCGGCCGGCGGCGCCUUGUGGCGGGAGGACGACGGCUGCACGGCGUGGCUCGACAGCCAGACGGACGGAACCGUCGUGUACGUGAGCUUGGGCAGCCUUGCCAUCAUUUCGGUCGAGGAGUUCACCGAGUUCCUGUCCGGGCUCGUCGGCGCCGGCCACCCCUUCCUUUGGGUGCUCAGGCCGGACAUGGUCGGGGCGAGCCAGAAUGCCGUCCUCCAGGACGCCAUCAAGGCGGCCGGGAGAGGCAAGGCCCGCGUCGUGGAGUGGGCGCCGCAGCGGGACGUGCUGCGCCACCGGGCAGUGGGCUGCUUCCUGACGCAUGCAGGGUGGAACUCCACGCUAGAGAGCGUCACCGAGGGCGUGCCGACGGUGUGCUGGCCCUUCUUCGUGGACCAGCAGACCAACAGCCGGUUCAUGGGCGCCGUGUGGGGCACCGGGCUGGACAUGAAGGACGUGUGCGAGAGAGCCGUCGUGGAACGGAUGGUGAGGGAGGCCAUGGAGUCCGUCGAGCUAAGGAGGUCGGCUCAAGCGCUGGCGCAGCAGGUGAGACGGGACAUCGCCCAAGGGGGCUCGUCGGCCAAUGAGUUCAAGCGGCUCGUCGGCUUCAUUAAUGAGCUCAGCAUCAGCACGCGGUGCUCCACACCAAGUCCGGACAAAGAAUGA